rnacentral:rRNA from 1 species
UACAGAGGGUGCAAGCGUUAAUCGGAUUUACUGGGCGUAAAGGGCGCGUAGGUGGUUACGUAAGUGAGAUGUGAGAUCCCCGGGCUUAACCUGGGAAUUGCGUCUUAAACUGCGUAGCUGGAGUGCAAUAGAGGGUAGUGGAAUUUCCGGUGUAGCGGUGAAACGCGUGGAUAUCGGAAGGAACACCAGUGGCGAAGGCGGCUACCUGGAUUGACACUGACACUGAGGCGCGAAAGCGUGGGGAGCAAACAGG